UAAUGGUGACGGAAUUCUCAGGUUCCAGAGUUCUCUGGAGAUGACAUCACAGACACUCAGAGCACUUUGCCCACCUCCUGGGUGCGUCCUACUCCAGUAAUCAUAAGCAACCGCCCCAGUUACCGUUAGGCACCCCAGGUCCUAGAUUCCUUCAGAGAAGGGGAAGGGACUUCCUUCUGUCUCAUGGGAAAUGUCCCUGGGGACAGGAACCUGACGUUGUCUUUGUGAGUUUUAGGUAUUUGAUACCUGCUGGUGUCUGCAGGGAAGAACCGAGAGGCGGGCGCUGCUCAAGGGCCAACGGCUUAACAGAAAGCGACGCCGGUUGCUGAUUUUCUUGUCUGGGUCUCUGCGGAUGAACACCUGAUUGCCUUGAGAAAGGGCCUAUCACUGAACUGGAAGCUUGUCAUUUGAGCUAUUGACUGGCCAGAGAUCUCUCAGAAUCCCCUUCCCAAUCCAAUCCCAGAGUUACAGGUAUGUACAGCCAGGCCAGCUUUUAAUGUGGCCACUGGGGAUUUGAAAUUAGGUCCUAAGUCUUACAGAGGAAGUACUCUUCCUCACUGAACUUUCUCCCCAGAUCCCAGGAAUCGCAUCUUAAAUCUGUUCUUUAUUCAGAGAGGUUGAUAAUCGGGAAAUAUGGUGGAUUAACGUAAUAGAUGCCUGUCUUGUGCCUAAUUUUCAGCGAGCAGAUAUAUAUGUUUACAUCUGGAGAAGGGAGUGGCUGUCAGUCAUUCAGGAUCUUGGCUCACCUCUCCGGUCAGGUGGUCAGCCUGACAUUUCUGAGACUCUUGAUGUCUGUUUCUUGCUAUUGUCCCUCCUGUCCUUCUCCCCUCCUGUGGAUGUUUGGGUUUAAUCAAUUCUCGAAACAAAGAGCCAUGUCCAUUCCUGCUGUCACCAACUUUCAGUUUCCCCCAGGGACAUUUGAGCUGGGGUGGGGAUAACUCAGAACAAACGAAGCAUAGACGCUAAGCUAACAAUAACGGGCCUGCAGAUUUCUCUCUGUGCAUGGAAUUCCCCUGUCCAUCCCUUCUGUUCCUUAUUAAUCCUGAUACAAUUUGCCAACUGCCACCUUAGGGAGGCUCUGUGACUGUGAUAGUUUUAUUUGUCAACUUGACACAAUCUAGUAUUACCAGGGAGAAGGACCUUGGAGAAUUUCUGAGACGCAUUACCUUAAUUUGCAUUGAAAGACCCACCCGCCAUGGGUGGCAUCAUUUCCUAUGCUUGGGACCUGGACUGAAUAAAAAGGAGUUGAGGACCAGCAUGUAUACCUGAGUACAUGUGUUCCUUCUCUCUUCUGAUUAUGUAACUUCCCUGCUCUGAUGGCCUGCAGCCUAGAAUUGUGAACCCAAUAAUUUUUCUUUCUUCAGUUGCUGUUGGCAGGGUAUUUCACAGUUGUAAAUGAAACUAAUGUAAUUAUCCACACAUGUAAGGAAUCUGGAGUCUUAAGAAAUUGACCACACAAUUCAAAGUGUUUAGCAGGAUAAAGGAUCAUUUCUGUAGAAGGGUGUGCAGCCUUGAUUCAUCAAGUAAACACACCCAGUGGGAUCCCACUAGGUUUUUCUUCCUAAUGCAAAAUUGGUCCUGUGCCUCACUCUUGAUUGGUCAGAGCUAAGCCUCACCUUUUUACCUGAUUGGCUAACUAAAGCAGUGUGGUUUCUAGGGAGAAAUAACUUAAACAUACAUUUGGAUUAUAAAAAGUGCUGACCCUGGGGGGAAUUUGAAUUUCUACCAGGCAACUUCUUUACAACAUUUUAAAUGGUGUUUUGCUUCAUUUAACUCUUCAAUAAGAAAGACAGUGCAUUUUUAUUUUUAUUUCUCCCCUCGCCGGGGAAACCAGCCACGUUUGCCCACACUGCACACAGGCUGGUCCACAUGAUGACCAGAAGCCAUACCUUAACCAUGUCAUGACAGAAGCACAAUAUAUCUCAGAAUAAUGGAUCACCAGCCUUUCAUGUGACCAAGUGUGACUGUCUGAGGUGAGGAGUGAGUCCCCAGCACAGUGGCAGGCUCCUGACAGUUACUCAGAAGUUGUGACUGUCAGCACCUAGGCCCUCAGCAGCUCGUGUAGGCUCACCUUCUUGCAAAGUCUUAACAGUGGGAGCAGGGGCCAUCUCUGACUCUGUUGCCUGUGCAUGGGAGCCUCUCCCCUCACUGGGUUGCAUGCUCCAGCCUUAAUAGAAGAGGAGGUGCCCUGUAUUAAUGCAAACUGAGAAGCCAGGGCUGCUAAAUAUAUAUGAGAGGCCUGCCCUAUUCUGAAGAAUGAAGGAGGAACCGUUAGAGAUGAUGCGGAUAGUGUUGGUGGAGAGAGAAAGAGAGAGGGAAGUCAGAGAGGAGGGGAGGGAUGGAGGGAGGGAGGGACAGAGACAGACAGAAACACUGAGAGACAGACAGAGUAAGAUGUAGAGAGACACAAAGACAAACAGAGACACACAACAACUGGCAGAUUCACACAGAAACAGAGAGGGAGAACAGAAGAAGCAUUCAAGAACACAAAAGUAAGGGGUUGUUUCUAUGAAUGUUAUUUUAAGGGCCUUUAUGAAGUUUCCCUCCCCUCUUUAGGGUUGGUCAGUUGCAAAAAUGACUAUAUCGGUGACUGGCUUAUAGGUUUGGCAUAAACAUGUCCUGAUCAGCCAGAAUUCAAGACCUGUACCUAAACAUAGUAAAAGUAAUAUACAGCAAACCAGCAGCCCACAUCACACUAAAUGGAGAAAAACUUGCAGCAAUCCCACUGAAAUCAGGGGACUAGACAAGCUUUCUACUCUCUCCCUACCUAUUCAAUGUAAUUCUUGAAGUCCUAAGCAGAGCAAUUAGACAAGAAAGGGAUGUCAAAGGGAUACAAAUUGGAAAGGAAGAAGUCAUAAUACCACUAUUUGGAGACGAUACGUGAGUAUACUUAAGUGACCCCAAAAAUUCCACCAGAGUACUCCUACAGCUGAUAAACAACUUCAGCAAAGUAGUUGGAUAUGAAGUUAACUCAAACAAAUCAGUAGACUUCAUCUACUCAAGGAUAAACAGGCUGAGAAAGAAAUGGCACCCUUCACAAUAGCCACAAAUACUAUAAAAUACCUUGGUGUGACUCUAACCAAGCAAGUGAAAGAUCUAUAUGAUAAGAACGUCAAGUCUUUGAAGAAAGAAAUCAAAGAUGAUCUCAGAAGAUGGAAAGAUCUCCCAUGCUCAUGGAUUAUUAGCAGGAUUAAUGUGGAAAAAUGGCCAUCUUGCCCAAAGCUAUCUACAGAUUCAAUGCAAUCCCCAUCAAAAUUCCAACUCAAUUCUUCAUAGAAUCAGAAAGAUCAAUUUGCCAAUUCAUUUGGAAAAGAAAAAAAAACUUAGGAUAGAGAAAACUAUUCUCAACAAUAAAAGAACUUCUGGGGAAAUCCUCAUCCCUGACCUAAAGCUGUAUUACAGAGCAAUCAUGAUAAAACUGCAUGAUAUUGGUACAGAGACAGGCAGGUAAAUCAAUAGAAUAGAAUUGAAGACCCAGAAAUGAACCCACACACCUAUGGUCACUUGAUCUUUCACAAAGGACCUAAAACUAUCCAAUGUAAAAAAGACAGCAUUUUCAACAUAUGGAGGUGUUUCAACUGGAGGUCAGCAUGGAGAAGAAUGCAAAUUCAACCAUUUCUUAUCUCCUUGUACAGAGCUCUAGUCCAAGUGGAUCAAAGACCUCCACAUAAAACCAGAUACACUGAAACUAAUAGAAGAGAAAGUAGGGAAGAGCCUUGAACACAUAGACACAGGGGAAAAUUUCCUGAACAGAACACCAAUGGCUCAUGCUUUAAGAUCAAGAAUCCACGAAUGGGACCUCAUAAAAUUGCCAACCCUCUGUAAGGGAAAGGACACGAUCAAUAGGACAAAAUGGCAACCAACAGAUUGGGAAAAGUUCUUUACCAAUCCUACAUCUGAUAGAGGGUUAAUAUCUAAUAUAUACAAAGAACUCAAGAUACUAGACUCCAGAGAAUCAAAUAAUCCUGUUAAAAAUGGGGUACAGAGAUAAACAAAGAAUUCUCAACAGAAGAAUCCCGAAUGACUGAGAAGCACCUAAGAAAUGUGCACCCAACUAAUGAGCCAACCUCUGUGCUUGAAUUAGGGAAAAGCUGGAGGAAGCUAAGGAGGAAGUCAAUCCUGCAGGUGGACCAGUUGCCUCAAUUAACCUGAACGAGUGAGAUCUCUCAGACACUGGAUCACCAACCAGGCAGCAUACACCAGCUGAGACCUUCAACACAUAUACAGCAGAGGACUCCUGGGUCUGGGUUCAUUCAUAGAGGAUUCACCUAACCCUCAGGAGACUGGAGGCCCCAGGAAGUUUAGAGGUCCUGUGGGGUGGGUGGAGUGAGGACUUCCUUGUGGAGGUGGGUGCGGGGGCAGGCCAGGGGUGUAGGAAGGAGGUAUAGCAUGUGGAACCCUCAGGGGUUGGACCUGAGCAGAAUAAAAUAUGGAGUGUAAAAAUGAAUAAAUAAAUAGAUAAAUUUAGAAAAAAAGUGUUCAACAUCCUUAGUCAUCAGGGAAUGGCAAGUGAAAACCACCCUGAGAUACCACCCAUACUUCACAAUCAGAAUGGCUAAGAUCAAAACCUCAGGUGACAGCAGAUUCUGGCAAGGAUGUGGAGAAAGAGGAACACUCCUCUAUUGUUGGUGGGAUUGAAAGCUGGUACAACCACUCUGGAAAUCAGUCUGGAGGCUCCUCCAAUAAUUGGACAUAGUUCUACCUGAAGACCUAGAUUUACCACUCCAGGGCAUAUACCCAAAAGAUGCUCCAACAUAUAACAAGGACACAUGCUCCACUAUGCUCACAGCAGCCUUAUUUAUAAUAGCCAGAAGCUGGAAAGAACCCAGAUGCCCUUCAACAGAGGAAUGGAUACAGAAAAUGUGGUACAUCUACACAAUGGAGUACUACUCAGCUAUCAAAAACAAUGGCUACAUGAAAUUAUUAGGCAAAUGGAUGGAACUUGAAAAUAUCGACCUGAGAGAGGUAACCCAGUCACAAACGAACACACAUGGUAUGCACUCACCGAGAAGUGGAUGUUAGCCCAAAAGCUUGGAGCACCUAAGAAAAAUUCACAGAUCAUAUGAAGCUCAAGAAGAAGGAAGACCAAAAUGUGAAUGCUUCAUUCCUUCUUAGAAAGAAUAAAAUACUCAGGGGAGGAAAUACAGAAACAAAGAGUGGAGCUUGGACUGGAGAAUGACAUCCUCUAGUGACUGCCCCACCUGGGGAUCCAUCCCAUAUGCAUCUAUCAAACCCAAUCACUAUUCCUGAUGCCAAGAAGUGCUUGUUGACAGAAGCCAGAUAUGGGUGUCUCCUGAGAGGCUCUGCUGGAGCCCUACUGAUACAGAUGAGGAUGGUUGCAGCUAACCAUUGGACUGAACAAGGGGAAUCCAACGGAGCAGUUAGAGAGAAGACUGAAACAGUGGAAGGAGUUUGCCAUCCCAUAAGAAGAACAACAGUAUCAACCAACCAGAUCCCACUGGAGCUCUCAGGGACCAAACCACCAACCAAUCAGCACAUGUGGAAGGACCCAUGAAUCCAGCCACACAUGUAGCAGAGGAUGGCAUUGUCCAGCAUCAUUAGGAGGAAGAGCCCUUGGUCCUGUGAAGACUUGAUUCCCCAGUGUAGGAUAAUGCCAGGGUGUUGAGGUGGGAGUGGGUGGUUAGGAGUGGAAGCAUCCUCA